GAUUUCUGGCUUGAAACAUUUUGCCGGCCACGGUUUCGUGUGUUAGUGCUUGAUGUUCUGGCCAUCCUUCCAAUUGCUGUGCGUUUCUCUUCAUUGAUUAGCGCAUGGUAUUGGAUCUUUUACUUUGAAAAAAUUAGAGUGUUUCAAGCAGGCGAUUGCUAUGAAUACAUUAGCAUGGAAUAAUAAUUUAGGACUUCGGUUCUAUUUUGUUGGUUUCUAGGACUGAAGUAAUGAUUGAUAGGGAUAGUUGGGGGUGCUAGUAUUCAGCGGCCAGAGGUGAAAUUCUUGGAUUCGCUGAAGACUAACUUAUGCGAAAGCAUU
rnacentral:rRNA from 2 species